UACGGAGGGUGCAAGCGUUAUUCGGAAUUACUGGGCGUAAAGCGUGCGCAGGCGGUUUGUUAAGUCUGCUGUGAAAUCCCCGAGCUCAACUUGGGAAUUGCAGUGGAUACUGGCAGGCUGGAGUAUGGUAGAGGAAGGUGGAAUUCCCGGUGUAGCAGUGAAAUGCGUAGAGAUCGGGAGGAACACCAGUGGCGAAGGCGGCCUUCUGGACCAAUACUGACGCUCAUGCACGAAAGCGUGGGGAGCAAACAGG
rnacentral:rRNA from 1 species